rnacentral:rRNA from 1 species
UACAGAGGUCUCAAGCGUUGUUCGGAUUCAUUGGGCGUAAAGGGUGCGUAGGCGGCGCGGUAAGUCGGGUGUGAAAUCUCGGGGCUUAACUCCGAAACUGCAUUCGAUACUGCCGUGCUUGAGGACUGGAGAGGAGACUGGAAUUUACGGUGUAGCGGUGAAAUGCGUAGAUAUCGUAAGGAAGACCAGUGGCGGAGGCGGGUCUCUGGACAGUUCCUGACGCUGAGGCACGAAGGCCAGGGGAGCAAACGGG